AAUUAAUCAUUCGUGUAGUUUGCAUCACUCCGCCUUUUCUGUCAUUUUGCUUAGUAGCACGCUUCAUUAUUAUUUCAUGCUUUUGUAUGGUUACCACAUAACUUGAUGGAAGAGGGGCGUGAAAUUGAAAAAUUUGGAAUGCAAUAUCUUAGGUCUUACAAAAUGAAAUAAAUUGUGUGUAAUUUGGCUGUCAUGUAUGAUUUCUUCAGGCUGG
rnacentral:misc_RNA from 1 species